rnacentral:rRNA from 1 species
UACUCGAGUGGCGAACGGGUGAGUAACACGUGGGUGAUCUGCCCUGCACUUCGGGAUAAGCCUGGGAAACUGGGUCUAAUACAGGAUAGGAGCCAUUUUUAGUGUGAUGGUUGGAAAGUUUUUUCGGUGUAGGAUGAGCUCGCGGCCUAUCAGCUUGUUGGUGGGGUAAUGGCCUACCAAGGCGGCGACGGGUAGCCGGCCUGAGGGGGUGGACGGCCACAUUGGGACUGAGAUACGGCCCAG